AAUCAACGCUGGCGGCGUGCCUCAGACAUGCAAGUCGAACGAUUAAAGCUCUCUUCGGAGAGUGUAUAGAGUGGCGCACGGGUGAGUAACACGUAAGUAAUCUACCUUCGAGUGGGGAAUAACGUCCGGAACGGACGCUAAUACCGCAUAAUGCAGCGGCAUCGCAAGAUGACAGUUGUUAAAGAUUUAUCGCUUGAAGAGGAGCUUGCGGCAGAUAGCUAGUUGGUAAGGUAAUGGCUUACCAAGGCUACGAUCUGUAACCGGUCUAAGAGGACGGUCGGUCACACUGGGGCUGAGACACGGCCCAGACUCCUACGGGAGGCAGCAGUGGGGAAUCUUGCGCAAUGGGCGAAAGCCUGACGCAGCGACGCCGCGUGGGGGAUGAAGGCC
rnacentral:rRNA from 1 species